rnacentral:sRNA from 1 species
CAAACUAAAGUCCAAACUAAGAAUCUUUUUAUAUAUAUUAAUUAAAAAUAAGAUAUGUUUCUCUUAGUUAGUUGCAAAAAUGAUGAGUCAACUGUUUGUUAGUUGUAACAUGAUUGGACAGAUUACUUGUCUAUAUUUAAUGACUCCGUGAAUAAUAUUUUUCUAGUCGAGAAACUUUCAAGCUUGAACAGUUACUAUUUAAUCUUAUACAUAAUGUUUAGACUCAUAGGUGUGUAUAUACAGCAAUGCAUAUGGUAUAUAUCCAUAUUGUUUUAAAUGAUCUGCAUAUUUUGUUUAACGGUCAUGUUGGUUUACAGAUUUGGGCUCUGUGCCUAGUCAGUAAAUGAACAUUUAGUUAUUCAUGUUUCAACUUUUUUUUUACAAUGACUUUUAUUAUUGCAUGUUUAAUAGUUUUUUUUUAAAAAGACAUUUUAAAAUUACACGCGAAUGCAUUAAAAUACAAAUGUAGCAAUACAAAAAUAAACAUCAUAGAGCU